GGUCCAGACUCCUACGGGAGGCAGCAGUAGGGAAUCUUUCACAAUGGGCGAAAGCCCGAUGGAGCAACGCCGCGUGCAGGAUGAAGGCCUUCGGGUUGUAAACUGCUUUUAUAAGCGAGAAAUAUGAUGGUAACUUAUGAAUAAGGAUCGGCUAACUCCGUGCCAGCAGCCGCGGUAAUACGGAGGAUGCGAGCGUUAUCCGGAUUUAUUGGGUUUAAAGGGUGCGCAGGCGGAGGUGCAAGUCAGCGGUCAAAUUGCGGGGCUCAACCCCGUACUGCCGUUGAAACUGCAUCCCUUGAGUGCGCGAGAAGUAUGCGGAAUGCGUAGUGUAGCGGUGAAAUGCAUAGAUAUCACGCAGAACUCCGAUUGCGAAGGCAGCAUACCGGCGCGCAACUGACGCUCAUGCACGAAAGCGUGGGUAUCGAACAGGAUUAGAUACCCCUGUACA
rnacentral:rRNA from 1 species